rnacentral:rRNA from 1 species
CUUCUCUGAUGUUAGCGGCGGACGGGUGAGUAACACGUGGAUAACCUACCUAUAAGACUGGGAUAACUUCGGGAAACCGGAGCUAAUACCGGAUAAUAUUUUGAACCGCAUGGUUCAAAAGUAAAAGACGGUCUUGCUGUCACUUAUAGAUGGAUCCGCGCUGCAUUAGCUAGUUGGUAAGGUAACGGCUUACCAAGGCAACGAUGCAUAGCCGACCUGAGAGGGUGAUCGGCCACACUGGAACUGAGACACGGUCCAGACUCCUACGGGAGGCAGCAGUAGGGAAUCUUCCGCAAUGGGCGAAAGCCUGACGGAGCAACGCCGCGUGAGUGAUGAAGGUCUUCGGAUCGUAAAACUCUGUUAUUAGGGAAGAACAUAUGUGUAAGUAACUGUGCACAUCUUGACGGUACCUAAUCAGAAAGCCACGGCUAACUACGUGCCAGCAGCCGCGGUAAUACGUAGGUGGCAAGCGUUAUCCGGAAUUAUUGGGCGUAAAGCGCGCGUAGGCGGUUUUUUAAGUCUGAUGUGAAAGCCCACGGCUCAACCGUGGAGGGUCAUUGGAAACUGGAAAACUUGAGUGCAGAAGAGGAAAGUGGAAUUCCAUGUGUAGCGGUGAAAUGCGCAGAGAUAUGGAGGAACACCAGUGGCGAAGGCGACUUUCUGGUCUGUAACUGACGCUGAUGUGCGAAAGCGUGGGGAUCAAACAGGAUUAGAUACCCUGGUAGUCCACGCCGUAAACGAUGAGUGCUAAGUGUUUAGGGGGUUUCCGCCCCAUUAGUGCUGCUAGCUAACGCAUUAAGCACUCCGCCUGGG